UGGGCGUAUACGUGCAAGUCACAGGGGAU
rnacentral:piRNA from 1 species